rnacentral:rRNA from 1 species
GAUGAACGCUGGCGGCGUGCCUAAUACAUGCAAGUCGAGCGAACAGAUGAGGAGCUUGCUCCUCUGACGUUAGCGGCGGACGGGUGAGUAACACGUGGAUAACCUACCUAUAAGACUGGGAUAACUACGGGAAACCGGAGCUAAUACCGGAUAAUAUAUUGAACCGCAUGGUUCAAUAGUGAAAGACGGUUUUGCUGUCACUUAUAGAUGGCUCCGCGCCGCAUUAGCUAGUUGGUAAGGUAACGGCUUACCAAGGCAAUGAUGCGUAGCCGACCUGAGAGGGUGAUCGGCCACACUGGAACGGAGACACGGUCCAGACUCCUACGGGAGGCAGCAGUAGGGAAUCUUCCGCAAUGGGCGAAAGCCUGACGGAGCAACGCCGCGUGAGUGAUGAAGGUCUUCGGAUCGUAAACCUCUGUUAUUAGGGAAGAACAAAUGUGUAAGUAACUAUGCACGUCUUGACGGUACCUAAUCAGAAAGCCACGGCUAACUACGUG